rnacentral:rRNA from 1 species
UACGUAGGGUGCUAGCGUUGUUCGGAAUCAUUGGGCGUAAAGCGCGUGUAGGCGGUUAGUAAAGUCGGGUGUGAAAUCCCUGGGCUCAACCGAGGAAGUGCAUCCGAAACUAAUUAGCUAGAGAGUGGUAGAGGGAGGUGGAAUUCCGUGUGUAGAGGUGAAAUUCGUAGAUAUACGGAGGAAUACCGGUGGCGAAGGCGGCCUCCUGGACCAUUUCUGACGCUGAGACGCGAAAGCGUGGGGAGCAAACAGG